rnacentral:tRNA from 1 species
GGGUAUAUAGCUCAGUUGGAAGAGUGCCCGCUUAGCAUGCGGGAGGUCCGGGGUUCAAGCCCCUGUGUAUCCA